AGCUCAUUGGUCUAGGGAUAUGAUUCUUGCUUUGGUUGCUAGAGGCCUUGGAUUCAAACCCCGGACGAGCCU
rnacentral:tRNA from 1 species